rnacentral:rRNA from 1 species
CCUACGGGAGGCAGCAGUGGGGGAUAUUGCACAAUGGAGGAAACUCUGAUGCAGCAACGCCGCGUGAGGGGAGACGGUCUUCGGAUUGUAACCCUUUGUCCUUGGUGACGAUAAUGACGGUAGCCAAGGAGGAAGCUCCGGCUAACUACGUGCCAGCAGCCGCGGUAAUA